CCGGGCGCACGGGUGAGUAACGCGUAUGUAACUUACUAUCAGGGGGGGACGAACCGGCGAAAGUCGGACUAAUACCGCAUAAAGCAGGGAUCCCGCAUGGGAAUAUUUGCUAAAGAUUCAUCGCUGAUAGAUAGGCAUGCGUUCCAUUAGGCAGUUGGCGGGGUAACGGCCCACCAAACCGACGAUGGAUAGGGGUUCUGAGAGGAAGGUCCCCCACAUUGGUACUGAGACACGGACCAA
rnacentral:rRNA from 1 species